AGCAGUCGCCGCGGUAAUACAGAGGGUGCGAGCGUUAAUCGGAUUUACUGGGCGUAAAGCGUGCGUAGGCGGCUAAUUGAGUCGGAUGUGAAAUCCCCGAGCUUAACUUGGGAAUUGCAUUCGAUACUGGUUAGCUAGAGUGUGGGAGAGGAUGGUAGAAUUCCAGGUGUAGCGGUGAAAUGCGUAGAGAUCUGGAGGAAUACCGAUGGCGAAGGCAGCCAUCUGGCCUAACACUGACGCUGAGGUACGAAAGCAUGGGGAGCAAACAGGAUUAGAUACCCCUGUAGUCCCUGUCUCUUAUAC
rnacentral:rRNA from 1 species